rnacentral:lncRNA from 1 species
AAUCAUGCCUUAUUUAUGUGAAAGAAGAGAAUAAAACAUAAUCGACAGUGUUAAUUUGACUAAAUGACAUAUUUCAUUGAUUUUGAGAUGCAUAUUUUUAUACUUCUGAAAUUGUAAACAUCUUGGUAUCGAUGGUGUGCCAUAUUGUAAUUGACAAUCUAUUUUCAUUUCUUAAUGGAAUGUAAAAUAAAAGUACUUCCUUCAAUCAGUUGCAUCUUAGAUUCAAUAAAAUAUGGUAAAUUGCUGCUAAACCUACACAUGCAGAUUGGCUACAUACUUACACUUAAUCUGAGGUAAGAGCCAAAAGACAUCAGUAGAAAUAUUUUAUACUAUAUUUUUAUAGUUCUACCAAAAUUUGUUGGUGAUUACAAAGUUCUUUGAAGAUUAUAGGGCAAAGGUAAUAAAAAGUUUUAGGUUGUUGAUAAUAAGUUUAAAUAAAUGUCAGUGGCUUGGCGGGAGGGUGAACAUUUUCCCUUAUAAAUACAGGAUAUAAUGGUCACUGCAAAAUGUGACAUGCAAGUAAUUUCAGAACAGAUUAUGAUAGAAUAGUCAUUUCAAAAAAAUAUUAAAAGUUGGGGAUCCUACUCUGCUUGUAUUUUGAAAAUCCAAGAAAAAAUUUUUAGCCGCUGUUAAGGUAAAUAAUAUGGAUCAGAAAAGGUAUAUCUAAAUCAGAAACUCAGCAUCUUAAGGAUAUUAUGAAUGGUAUGUAAUUAUGAAAACCACUGAAUUACCUCCUCAUUAUGCCUCUCACCUCCUGAGUUAAACUAAAAAUAAUGAAAGAUUAAAUUCACUGAGCAUAAUAGAGUAUUGCAGCUUGACAUCUCUCCAUUGAAAAAUUGAAAUCCUUUUUUUGAAUCAAAAUAUUUAGUAAAUUUAGAUGAGAAAAUUUCUAAUCUCAUCUUCCCAGGCAGGACUUAGUGAAUGAGAAUGGAAUCUUUAUGAACCAAAGGGCAUAUUUUGAAAAGAAAGUAAAUGUACUCAUUCAAAAUGAAAAACCUAAGUGAAGAGAGUUGAGGAUUAAUUACCAACAGGUAGAUUUAUUCGUCCUACACUCAUUUAUUGCGCACAUAGUUCCAUUUUCACGGAUUGGAACCAAAUUGUGCCCUACAGGUUAUCAGGCUGUACCACUCAAGAAAUGCUUGAAUUCCCCCCAGAAAUAUAUCUAGCAGCUGGUUAAUCUAAAUGGUGUAAAAAUAGGGAGCUCUUUUAACGCAUAGCUGAGGCCAUUACAUCUUUGAUUAUCCUCCUAAUUGACAAAAUCUGAUUUCCCCACACUUUUUACCUAUUAGUCUUUAAGUUUUUCACUGUGCCAUAUAGAAGAAGUUAAAUCUUUCAGGUGAUAGCUACCAUAUGCCCUCCUGCCCUCCAAAUUUUCUAUUUGGAUGAAAUAUUCCCAAUUUCUCCAUUCUGCAUUUAAUGUCAGAGAGCCAGUUUCAGCAAACAGUUGUGGUUUCAGUAAGGUGUCUUAGGUAGAUUUAUCUCCUUGAUUCCUUCAUAGUAAAUUCUACAGUGAUUUGUAUUCUCUGCCUACAAAACACUGCUUUUAUGAUGGCACCGUUCUAUUGUGUUUUCCAGCAGCGUGUCCCAGUUGUCGCUUGUAGUUGAACCUUAAAAGUUUAUUUUUAAAAACUAAAAUGGCACAUUUUUCUUAAAAUGAAGAGGUUUAGAACCUAAGAAAAUAGCAUCUAAUAAUCUAGUGCUCAUCUUUUCACUUAAAUGUUUACUUCUCAAAUGCAUUCUGGAUAUAAGAACAUAACAUAUAGACACCUAGAUGCUCUGCAUAUGUCAGUUACUAAAAUGGCUGGCAUAGAGGGGUUUUUAUUAGGUGUGUAUUUCUUUAAUUUGAAAAAAAGAAAAAGUUAAACAAUUCAGAUCAAUAAACUUAUUUCUCAGAUAUGUGGUUCCAAUAUAAAUAGCAUCAAAAAAAAAAAAUCCUGAUCAAAACUUUCAUGUGAAGUUGUUGUCAGGUCUUUUAUGGUAGAUCACAGAUGCUGAAAGCAGUUACCAGAUUUGCUGUUUCUAGAGCUUUAUGUCCUAAGUUCUGUUCCUUGAAAUACUAGUGUCUUGAGAGGAAUCAGUAAGUGUUCUUUAGGGAAGGAGUUUUCAUGGUCAAAUAUAUUUAGAAAAUGUUAUUAUUGCAGAUUUUUUUUGGUCAUGAAACUUCUUAGAACCUUUGAUAUGCUAAUAUACAUCACCUCUGUAUCUACAAAAGAAUACCAUAGUUUGCACUGUGAAAUGUGUUUUUAGAGCUACACUACUAACGGGGCACUGAUACUACAACAAAUGUAUUUUAGGAGAGAUUCUUCCACAGUAUAUAUUGUUUCUAUUCAAUGGUAGUGGUGUGGUUUUCUUUUUUAUCCUUUUCUAAUCCCACC